rnacentral:rRNA from 1 species
GCUUGCUUGUUGGGGUUGUAGGACACUCUAUACGGAGUUACAAAGGACGACAUUAGACGAAUCAUCUGGAAAGAUGAAUCAAAGAAGGUAAUAAUCCUGUAGUCGAAAAUGUUGUCUCUCUUGAGUGGAUCCUGAGUACGACGGAGCACGUGAAAUUCCGUCGGAAUCUGGGAGGACCAUCUCCUAAGGCUAAAUACUCUCUAGUGACCGAUAGUGAACCAGUACCGUGAGGGAAAGGUGAAAAGCACCCCGGAAGGGGAGUGAAAUAGAACCUGAAACCGUGUGCUUACAAGUAGUCAGAGCCCGUUAAUGGGUGAUGGCGUGCCUUUUGUAGAAUGAACCGGCGAGUUACGAUUUGAUGCAAGGUUAAGCAGUAAAUGUGGAGCCGUAGCGAAAGCGAGUCUGAAUAGGGCGUUUAGUAUUUGGUCGUAGACCCGAAACCAGGUGAUCUACCCUUGGUCAGGUUGAAGUUCAGGUAACACUGAAUGGAGGACCGAACCGACUUACGUUGAAAAGUGAGCGGAUGAACUGAGGGUAGCGGAGAAAUUCCAAUCGAACCUGGAGAUAGCUGGUUCUCUCCGAAAUAGCUUUAGGGCUAGCCUCAAGUGAUGAUUAUUGGAGGUAGAGCACUGUUUGGACGAGGGGCCCCUCUCGGGUUACCGAAUUCAGACAAACUCCGAAUGCCAAUUAAUU